GGUCAAUGAUGUUGAAGGCAUGUAUUAACUGAAUCAAAAGUUGAUGCAAAUUCUUAAGUUACACUGAGACCUU
rnacentral:snoRNA from 1 species